UAUUGAUACAUCAUCAACAAAUAUUGACAUGAACAUUAAUUAAUUUAAUGAUGACAAUAAUUAACAAUUUAAUUAAUUUGCUAGGACCACUAAUUACAAUUGAUAUAAUUGAGAUGGGUCCCUCUAGGAGUUUUUUCAACAGCUAAUCUGAGCUUUCCCAUUAAAUUAGACUGCAAUGAUUUUCGUUGUCAAAAUUAUCAUCCUCGAAUUUUUUGCACCAAGAAACAAUUUUACAAUAAUUAAUUACAACGUACUAGUUUUAUAAAAUAAAGAAAUGAGAUAAUAGCUUUUGGAUGACAUGCAUGCAUGCCACCUAAAAUAAUUGUUUAUAGCCACUAGCCAGCUUAGUUUCAUAUAGUUAAGGGGUAUUUUGAUAUGAAUCCAAAAUAACUAAAAAUUGGACCUACUUCAAAAAUCAAAAGUCACUAAAAAUUGAACCUUCUUCAAAAUUAGGCCUACAAAAUUGAACCUAUUUCAAAAUUUCCCUAUAGUUAAUUACACAAUUUGUUUUGAGAAAAUAGGUCUAAGGUUAAUCAAAUGGAUAUAUAUA
rnacentral:lncRNA from 1 species